AUCCAGUUGACGAGUCCCAAAUAGGACGAAAUGCGCGUCAUGGAU
rfam:Trichobilharzia regenti genome assembly, scaffold: TRE_scaffold0070784